AUUGAACGCUGGCGGAAUGCUUUACACAUGCAAGUCGAACGGCAGCACGGACUUCGGUCUGGUGGCGAGUGGCGAACGGGUGAGUAAUGUAUCGGAACGUGCCCAGUCGUGGGGGAUAACGUAGUGAAAAUUACGCUAAUACCGCAUACGAUCUAUGGAUGAAAGCGGGGGAUCGCAAGACCUCGCGCGAUUGGAGCGGCCGAUAUCAGAUUAGGUAGUUGGUGGGGUAAAGGCCCACCAAGCCAACGAUCUGUAGCUGGUCUGAGAGGACGACCAGCCACACUGGAACUGAGACACGGUCCAGACUCGUACGGGCGUCAGCAGUGGGGAAUUUUGGACAAUGGGCGAAAGCCUGAUCCAGCCAUUCCGCGUGCAGGAUGAAGGCCCUCAGGUUGUAAACUGCUUUUGUACAGAACGAAAAGGUUUCUACUAAUACUAGGAGCUCAUGACGGUACCGUAAGAAUAAGCACCGGCUAACUACGUGCCAGCAGCCGCCGUAA
rnacentral:rRNA from 1 species